UACGUAGGGUGCGAGAGUUGUCCGGAAUUACUGGGCGUAAAGCGUGCGUAGGCGGUUGGUUAAGUCUGUCGUGAAAGCCCUGGGCUCAACCUGGGAAUGGCGAUGGAUACUGGCCAGCUAGAGUGUGAUAGAGGAUGGCGGAAUUCCCGGUGUAGCGGUGAAAUGCGUAGAGAUCGGGAGGAACAUCCGUGGCGAAGGCGGCCAUCUGGAUCAACACUGACGCUGAGGCACGAAAGCGUGGGGAGCAAACAGG
rnacentral:rRNA from 1 species